CCCCAGACUCUCGCCUCCUGGAAAUGUCCCCCAGGCUCCUCAGCUUUUUCAGCCCUGCCCUCUGCCCGAGUUCUCAGAAAUGAUGCAGCCUUGGGGGGCCCUGGACCCCAGCCCUAGGAGACAGACACUCUGCUUCGAGAAGACAACUGUUUUAAUGCCGUGGCCUCAGAGCCCCGCUGUCUUAUCUCUGGCUGUGACACUCGGUCCGGAGCCCCGAGGCACAGCCACCAGCACAGCGGCCGGGCUCCACUGGCCUGGGACAUGUCAGGGGACAGUCCUUCCGGGGCUCUGUGGGUCAGGUGUCAGAGGCCAGUCCUCGUGUCCAGUCUACCCUCAGACCUUGACAGGGUCCUGGAGCCCCUUCCCCAGCUGCCCUUGCCAAGCAGCACCCGGGGUGGGGGACAAAUCGGGAGCCCAGGACACCAGCCCAGCCAGCUCUGAGCUCCAACCACUCUUGCAGUGUGGGGAUCAGACGGACAGGUAGAUGGAGAAGUCGGCAGACUGGGGGUCAGCAUCACAGCGGCCAGGAGCAUUCCAUGCACGGGAGGCCAGCAGAGGAGACCCGUCCCCUGGGGAGCUCUGUGGCCUGGGACAGGAGGCUGAGGCCCCAGGGGUGGGCACAGGUUUGGCUGGUCCUUAGUAUGGGCGGGGGGGUGGGCAAGGGACCUGGCCAGGCCUGGGCCUGGAUGCAGGUGACCCCCUCUCGGCCCCCAAGUCCUUGAUAUAAAAUAAUCCACCCACAAAGAUAACAGCCCAUGUGUGGGUGGGCCCAGCACAGCCUGCACUCCUCCACGAAGCAGGCGGCCGUGCAGCCAGGUCUAGCUGUCCUCCACCCUCCUCUGGCUCUUGGAAUGAAACUUGCUCAUGAGUUCCUCCAGCUCUGAGCCGCUCUGCUGUGUCUAGGAAGGAUGGAUGGGGUCUCAGCCUGCGCUGCGUGUCAGGCCCCCAGCAGGCGGGGUGCAGGGUAGAGGCUCAGGGCGCUCACCUCCAGGACAGCCUUUUGCACCGUGAGCUGGCUGUACACGCGGACGCCCUCCUCCCCGCACACCUUCUUCAGCUCGUCCUUGUUGAGUGAGAACAGCUGAGGCCCGGUCAGUAUGCCCAGGUUCUCCACGAUGCUGCGGGAGCGUGAGGGCGGCGUGGUGGGCGUGGCAGCCUGGCGCCUGCACUCACCUAAGCCCAGCUGCACGCACCUGAGCCCUCCUGUCACCCCUACCGCCCUGUACCGCUCACCGGCUGCUGAAGGCUUUGGCCUCCAGCCAGGCGCGGACCUCAUCGGGUCCCGACUCGAAGGUGAGCGGCAGGCGCACAGGCUGGCUGCGCUCCACGCGGAAGGGCCGGGACUGCUGCACCUUGAUGUGGCUAAUCUUCUUCAUCAGCUCGUCGUUCACCUCGUCCAUGUGGUGGAUCAGCUC
rnacentral:lncRNA from 1 species